GAAAUGCGAUAAGUAAUGUGAAUUGCAGAAUUCAGUGAAUCAUCGAAUCUUUGAACGCAUCUUGCGCUCCUUGGUAUUCCUUGGAGCAUGCCUGUUUGAGUAUCAUGAAAUCUUCAAAGUAAAUCUUUUGUUAACUCAAUUGGUUUCUACUUGGUAUUGGAGGUCUUUGCAGCUUCACACCUGCUCCUCUUUGUUCAUUAGCUGGAUCUCAGUGUUAUGCUUGGUUCCACUCGGCGUGAUAAGUUAUCUAUCGCUGAGGACACUGUAAAAGGUGGCCAAGGUAAAUGCAGAUGAACCGCUUCUAAUAGUCCAUUGACUUGGACAAUACUUUUAUGAUCUGAUCUCAAAUCAGGUAGGACUACCCGCUGAACUUAAGC
rnacentral:misc_RNA from 1 species